rnacentral:rRNA from 1 species
UGGGGAAUAUUGGACAAUGGAGGGAACUCUGAUCCAGCAAUUCUGUGUGUGUGAAGAAGGUUUUAGGACUGUAAAACACUUUUAGUAGGGAAGAAAAAAAUGACGGUACCUACAGAAGAAGCAACGGCUAAAUACGUGCCAGCAGCCGCGGUAAUACGUAUGUUGCGAGCGUUAUCCGGAAUUAUUGGGCUUAAAGGGCAUCUAGGCGGUAAGACAAGUUGAAGGUGAAAACCUGUGGCUCAACCAUAGGCUUGCCUACAAAACUGUUGAAGUAGAGUACUGGAAAGGUGGGUGGAACUACACGAGUAGAGGUGAAAUUCGUAGAUAUGUGUAGGAAUGCCGAUGAUGAAGAUAACUCACUGGACAGAAACUGACGCUGAAGUGCGAAAGCUAGGGGAGCAAACAGG